GACCAAUUCAUUUGAUCAAGUUCCUCGAGAUAUUCAUACACUUCCUGUGAAAGAGCCAAUUCCAAGUAUUUGAUCAUUUCUGGUCACUUCCUUUCUAUUUAUGAUUGGUUAGUUGCACAAACAACAAAGGUGAUUGGUGCAUUCAAACUAUUCAACAGAAAGUUUACAAUUAUACUAGGAAGUGUAUGAAUAUCUCGAGGAACUUGAUCAAAUGGAUUGGUCAGCCCGGGGUAAUGUAUUGAAUCAAUAUUUGAGCAACACUUCAAUUGGAACGACAGUAAUAA